UGGCUCAGAUUGAACGCUGGCGGCAGGCCUAACACAUGCAAGUCGAGCGGAUGACGGGAGCUUGCUCCUUGAUUCAGCGGCGGACGGGUGAGUAAUGCCUAGGAAUCUGCCUGGUAGUGGGGGACAACGUUUCGAAAGGAACGCUAAUACCGCAUACGUCCUACGGGAGAAAGCAGGGGACCUUCGGGCCUUGCGCUAUCAGAUGAGCCUAGGUCGGAUUAGCUAGUUGGUGGGGUAAUGGCUCACCAAGGCGACGAUCCGUAACUGGUCUGAGAGGAUGAUCAGUCACACUGGAACUGAGACACGGUCCAGACUCCUACGGGAGGCAGCAGUGGGGAAUAUUGGACAAUGGGCGAAAGCCUGAUCCAGCCAUGCCGCGUGUGUGAAGAAGGUCUUCGGAUUGUAAAGCACUUUAAGUUGGGAGGAAGGGCAGUAAGCUAAUACCUUGCUGUUUUGACGUUACCGACAGAAUAAGCACCGGCUAACUCUGUGCCAGCAGCCGCGGUAAUACAGAGGGUGCAAGCGUUAAUCGGAAUUACUGGGCGUAAAGCGCGCGUAGGUGGUUUGUUAAGUUGGAUGUGAAAGCCCCGGGCUCAACCUGGGAACUGCAUCCAAAACUGGCAAGCUAGAGUACGGUAGAGGGUGGUGGAAUUUCCUGUGUAGCGGUGAAAUGCGUAGAUAUAGGAAGGAACACCAGUGGCGAAGGCGACCACCUGGACUGAUACUGACACUGA
rnacentral:rRNA from 1 species